rnacentral:rRNA from 1 species
GACGAACGCUGGCGGCGUGCCUAAUACAUGCAAGUUGAGCGCUGAAGGUUGGUACUUGUACCGACUGGAUGAGCAGCGAACGGGUGAGUAACGCGUGGGGAAUCUGCCUUUGAGCGGGGGACAACAUUUGGAAACGAAUGCUAAUACCGCAUAAAAACUUUAAACACAAGUUUUAAGUUUGAAAGAUGCAAUUGCAUCACUCAAAGAUGAUCCCGCGUUGUAUUAGCUAGUUGGUGAGGUAAAGGCUCACCAAGGCGAUGAUACAUAGCCGACCUGAGAGGGUGAUCGGCCACAUUGGGACUGAGACACGGCCCAAACUCCUACGGGAGGCAGCAGUAGGGAAUCUUCGGCAAUGGACGAAAGUCUGACCGAGCAACGCCGCGUGAGUGAAGAAGGUUUUCGGAUCGUAAAACUCUGUCGGUAGAGAAGAACGUUGGUGAGAGUGGAAAGCUCAUCAAGUGACGGUAACUACCCAGAAAGGGACGGCUAACUACGUG